rfam:Gossypium raimondii chromosome 1, whole genome shotgun sequence.
GUGAGCCUAGUGAUAGGAGACUAUCUAGCUUGGUUCGGAGAGCACUUGUUGGGUUAAAGAUUUUUUUUGUUUCUAAAUGUUACGGCCUAAAUGCUGAACUAUUGACCCUAC